CCUACGGGAGGCUGCAGUGGGGAAUAUUGCACAAUGGGGGAAACCCUGAUGCAGCGACGCCGCGUGAGUGAAGAAGUAUUUCGGUAUGUAAAGCUCUAUUAGCAGGGAAGAAACCAACCCUCCGGGGUGGCUGACGGUACCUGACUAAGAAGCCCCCGCUAACUACGUGCCAGCAGCCGCGGUAAUACGUAGGGGGCAAGCGUUAUCCGGAUUGACUGGGUGUAAAGGGAGCGUAGUGGGGAAGGCAAGUCAGAUGUGAAAACCACGGGCCCAACCCGGGGAGUGCAUUUGAAACUGUCUGGCUAGAGUGCAGGAGAGGUAAGUGGAAUUCCUAGUGUAGCGGUGAAAUGCAUAGAUAUAAGGAGGAACACCAGUGGCGAAGGCGGAUUACUGGACUGUAACUGACACGGAGGCUCGAAAGCGUGGGGAGCAAACAGGAUUAGAUACCCCAGUAGUC
rnacentral:rRNA from 1 species